AGAGUGUGCAGGGACCUCGUGUGUGCCCUCUCCCAGGUGGUAGGAAGCCCAUCUCUAAAGAGUUGAUUAGCUUCUGCUUCUGAGACCAAGGCAUAUGUAAAGGUGUUGGCUGCUAAAACACUUCCCCAGAGUUGUCAUUCCACCACCCUUCAGUGUGUAAGGCUUUUAAUAAGGGACUCUAGUCCCUCAUGUGUUCAGAUCCAGUUUAUUGUUACCAUCUGUUUAAUUAUACUCUCAGGUUUGUGUUGGGAAGCAUGAAAGUAUGUUAUCCAGCCUUUGAAUCCCUGUGUUCCUAAAGAGAUGUGGCUAAAGUGCAUGUCAGUUUUCAAAGAGCAUAUUAAAAACUGAUAAGCAGAACCAUCUCCAAACAACACUAUGUAAGAAAAAAAGACAUUUUUUAUGUUAAUGCAUGUUGCAUGUAAUUAGCAGGUGUACACUGAUGUGGCACUUUCUCCCGGAAAUGAGGCCAUCUUCUUUAUGCACAAACUCAUAUGCUUCUUCUUUGCGAUGAUGGAUUCUGAU
rnacentral:lncRNA from 1 species